rnacentral:rRNA from 1 species
UACAGAGGUCCCAAGCGUUGUUCGGAUUCACUGGGCGUAAAGGGUGCGUAGGCGGUCGGGUAAGUCUGAUGUGAAAUCUCACAGCUUAACUGUGAAACUGCGUCCGAUACUGGCAGGCUUGAAUCCGGGAGAGGGAUGCGGAAUUCCAGGUGUAGCGGUGAAAUGCGUAGAUAUCUGGAGGAACACCGGUGGCGAAGGCGGCAUCCUGGACCGGCAUUGACGCUGAGGCGCGAAAGCCAGGGGAGCAAACGGG